GUUGUCGUGGCCGAGUGGUUAAGGUGAUGGACUAGAAAUCCAUCGGGAUCUUCGCGCACAGGUUUGAAUCCUGCCGUCAACG